rnacentral:rRNA from 1 species
GACGAACGCUGGCGGCGUGCUUAACACAUGCAAGUCGAACGGAAAGGCCCUGCUUGCAGGGUACUCGAGUGGCGAACGGGUGAGUAACACGUGGGUGAUCUGCCCUGCACUUCGGGAUAAGCCUGGGAAACUGGGUCUAAUACCGGAUAGGAGCCAUUUUUCGUGUGAUGGUUGGAAAGUUUUUUCGGUGUAGGAUGAGCUCGCGGCCUAUCAGCUUGUUGGUGGGGUAAUGGCCUACCAAGGCGGCGACGGGUAGCCGGCCUGAGAGGGUGGACGGCCACAUUGGGACUGAGAUACGGCCCAGACUGCUACGGGAGGCAGCAGUGGGGAAUAUUGCACAAUGGGCGCAAGCCUGAUGCAGCGACGCCGCGUGGGGGAUGACGGCCUUCGGGUUGUAAAAUCCUUUCGCUAGGGACGAAGCUUUUUGUGACGGUACCUAGAUAAGAAGCACCGGCUAACUACGUG